UCUGAAAAUUGGACAAAUCUU
rnacentral:piRNA from 1 species